GCUAACUUCGAUGCUCAAACAUGCUGUGGCUGUUCUCCUUCGUUUAUUUUUCAAUGGUUGGCUUUCGCGGUUACCUGGACUGUCUUUUCCAUACCUUCAGUGACAAGAGGGCCCCGCUGUUGACGUUUAAUGAAGGAGAUAUACAGGCGGCGUUGCCAACGGUGUCCAGCUGCCUCAGCAUUUUCGGAAGCCGCAAGGGCUGGACGGGGACGCUCGUGGCGACGGCCGUCACCAGACACGGAGUCAUCCGGCAGGCGCGAGAAAUCAUGAUGGCGCAGGCGCGGGACAUCGUGCCGCCGGGACAACUGGGGCCCUUCGCGGAGAGCACAGCCCGUCUAGAUGCCUGAGCUUUGCUCUCCUCGCUACCGGUUGUGCUGCUCCCGUAUGUCGACGCUGAAACCUACCGGGAGGUCCAAGGCGCGUUGAUACUGGCGCACUUGGCCCUGGAGUACGCCCUCAUGAGAAGACUCGGGAAAGCAUUUUCCGUUCUUCAUCCCGAUAGUAUCAGGAAGAGCGUCCUGGAAGUCUUCACGAUGUCCUAUAUGUCUUUUUCGCAUGUCUGCUCAUCGUCAUGGCCAUUAUCAAAGAAUUCGCCGUCAUCGUAUUCGCUCCACAGGAUAUUUGGUGCCGGCGAGUAGCACAGAUCGCGCACGCCUGCUUCGUAGAGAAAGCGCUCCUCCUGGCCGGCACCGAAUUCGUUUUCACGCUUCUUAUUUUCCUCUUCACCAACAUAUAAAA
rnacentral:lncRNA from 1 species